AAUUACCCACUCCCAGCACGGGGAGGUAGUGACGAAAAAUAACGAUACGGGACUCAUCCGAGGCCCCGUAAUCGGAAUGAGUACAAUUUAAAACUUUUCCCGAGGAUCAAUUGGAGGGUAAGUCUGGUGCCAGCAGCCGCGGUAAUUCCAGCUCCAAUAGCGUAUAUUAAAGUUGUUGCGGUUAAAAAGCUCGUAGUCGAAUCUGUGUCCCGCGCCGCUGGUUCAUCGCUCGCGGUGUUCAACUGGCGUGUCUCGCGGGACGUCCUGCCGGUGGGCGCUCGUAUCGUUUCGGCGGUGCGUGGCCCAACUCGUAGCCGUCUCGCGCGGUUGCGAAUCCCAUCGCGGUGCUCUUUAUUGAGUGUCGAGGUGGGCCGGCACGUUUACUUUGAACAAAUUAGAGUGCUUAAAGCAGGCCAAUUUUGCCUGAAUAUUGUGUGCAUGGAAUAAUGAAAUAGGACCUCGGUUCUAUUUUGUUGGUUUUCGGAACCCCGAGGUAAUGAUUAAUAGGAACGGAUGGGGGCAUUCGUAUUGCGACGUUAGAGGUGAAAUUCUUGGAUCGUCGCAAGACGGACAGAAGCGAAAGCAUUUGCCAAAAACGCUUUCAUUGAUCAAGAACGAAAGUUAGAGGUUCGAAGGCGAUCAGAUACCGCCCUAGUUCUAACCAUAAACGAUGCCAGCUAGCGAUCCGCCGACGUUCCUCCGAUGACUCGGCGGGCAGCUUCCGGGAAACCAAAGCUUUUGGGUUCCGGGGGAAGUAUGGUUGCAAAGCUGAAACUUAAAGGAAUUGACGGAAGGGCACCACCAGGAGUGGAGCCUGCGGCUUAAUUUGACUCAACACGGGUAACCUCACCAGGCCCGGACACCGGAAGGAUUGACAGAUUGAUAGCUCUUUCUUGAUUCGGUGGGUGGUGGUGCAUGGCCGUUCUUAGU
rnacentral:rRNA from 1 species